GGUUGACCUCGGAUCAGGUAGGGAUACCCGCUGAACUUAAGCAUAUCAAUAAGCGGAGGAAAAGAAACCAACCGGGAUUGCCUCAGUAACGGCGAGUGAAGCGGCAAGAGCUCAAAUUUGAAAUCUGGCCCUCUCGGGGUCCGAGUUGUAAUUUGCAGAGGAUGCUUCGGGUGCGGCCCCCGUCUAAGUGCCCUGGAACGGGCCGUCAUAGAGGGUGAGAAUCCCGUCUGGGACGGGGUGUCCGUGCCCGUGUGAAGCUCCUUCGACGAGUCGAGUUGUUUGGGAAUGCAGCUCUAAAUGGGUGGUAAAUUUCAUCUAAAGCUAAAUACUGGCCGGAGACCGAUAGCGCACAAGUAGAGUGAUCGAAAGAUGAAAAGCACUUUGAAAAGAGAGUUAAAUAGCACGUGAAAUUGUUGAAAGGGAAGCGCUUGCGACCAGACUCGCCCGCGGGGUUCAGCCGGCAUUCGUGCCGGUGUACUUCCCCGUGGGCGGGCCAGCGUCGGUUUGGGCGGCCGGUCAAAGGCCCCCGGAAUGUAGUGCCCUUCGGGGCACCUUAUAGCCGGGGGUGCAAUGCGGCCAGCCUGGACCGAGGAACGCGCUUCGGCACGGACGCUGGCAUAAUGGUUGCAAACGACC
rnacentral:rRNA from 1 species